UGUUUACAGUAUUCCUGGGUGAUAAGAUUAGUUUCCACAGCUUCUCUACAUUACUCCUAAGAUUUCAAACAAAUAUAUAUAUACCUGUUACAUUGCUCUUGAAAAACCAUUCAUGUAUGAAGGAUGUCUUCACAGCUGCACCCAAACCUUUCUCUUUCUUGUCCAAUCUUUUGUCCAUUUUGUCUGAAAUGUUUCUGUCAAAGUUCUUGUGUGCGUUUUGUUUUGAAAGCUCUUUAAUAUAAAUGUACUGUGUUUUUAAAGUCCCUGAAGAACCUGAGAGGAUUACCAAAAAAGAAAGACUACCAAUAACAAUAGCUACAAAAGUGAAGAAGCCUCCGACGAAAGCACCAGAGGUUCGUAAAGCUGUUGUUGAAAAAGAAGUUGUCCAUGUAGAAGUUUCUCCGUAUGUGGAGGAGGAGGAGGAGGAAGAGGAAGAAGCUACUCCAUAUGAAGAAGUGCCACCUCAGUAUGAAGAGGAGGAAGUGGCAGAAUAUGAAGAAGAAAUAUCUCGGUAUGAAGAGGAAGUUACCCGCUAUGAAGAGAAAGUCAGCCAGUAUGAGGAGGAAAUAACUCACUAUGAGGAAGAGGAAGAAGUUCCUCCUUAUGAAGAAGUUCCUGAAUAUGAAGAAGAGGAAGAGGUCCCUCCACCACCACCUCCUCCAGCUAAAGUGCCUGAAGUACCCAAGAAGCCUGUGCCUGAGAAAAAGGUUCCCGCGGUGCCUGUACCUAAGAAAAAGGAAGCUCCUCCAGCGAAAGUGCCCGAGGUGCCAAAGAAACCUGUACCAGAAGAAAAGGUGCCGGUGCCGAAAAGAAAAGAAGCUCCACCCGCCAAAGGUAAAUCAGUUUAG
rnacentral:lncRNA from 1 species